UACGUAGGGUGCAAGCGUUAAUCGGAAUUACUGGGCGUAAAGCGUGCGCAGGCGGUUCUAUAAGACAAAUGUGAAAUCCCCGGGCUCAACCUGGGAACUGCAUUUGUGACUGUAGAGCUGGAGUGCGGCAGAGGGGGAUGGAAUUCCGCGUGUAGCAGUGAAAUGCGUAGAUAUGCGGAGGAACACCGAUGGCGAAGGCAAUCCCCUGGGCCUGCACUGACGCUCAUGCACGAAAGCGUGGGGAGCAAACAGG
rnacentral:rRNA from 1 species